AAGAGCCGAAGGAAUACGAUAGAGAAGAACGUUAUCGUAUGGCUAUAGUGCAUCUAAAGUGGUGUCGCUCUCAAUUUCCUUGCGGAUAAUGUACCCCGUCGAGUUCUCUCUUGCGUCGUUUCAAAUGCUGCGGCGGUAUGGCCGUUUCCACCGGCACGUAGCUGGUUUUCAUCCCAGAUAUCAGGAUUCCUUCGUCCUCCUCUUCCUCUCCGGUGCGUUCGGUUUCGGUAUGGCUGGUCGCUGGCGACAAAAAAUCACGCUAUUAAUCGCUCGAUCGCGCCUUCGAUCGCUCAUCGUGCCGCUGGUUCUCGCGAUCCUCGCGAGCAACAAUUCGUUCGCGAGGAUCUCGCGUCCCCGCGAACAACUCUCUAUUUCUAAUUGCGAAACGAUUAAUCCCCGUUCCCACCGGCUCAUCUCCGCUUUAUGCAAAUAUGCGAUCAUUCCGUUGGAAUUUAAAUGGCCGGAAAUGGUAACGUCACAGGGAGCACCGAAGCUCUAACUGUAUCAGUCCUGUCAGGAAUACCGGCGGACGGUCCGGAGGCUGGCCCAUCAAUUUCGAGACACUUUGCGCAGUGCAGUGCACGGUCAUUUAUAACCCUAUCAUAGUGACCGCGUUAACACAGCCCGCGGACGGAGGAUCACCGUGACCCAUUUCCGAUCUUUUCGUUCACUGUGAUCGGGAUCGUAAAGGUGCCGCGCCGCGAACGAACGAUCGGAAAUCGCGUCGAGCAUCGUCGAACGCGCUGUUACGAUUUCGAGCAGGGACGAAAAAUCGGUCGUUCCGAUUAGCGGCACCUGCGGUCGCUUUCAACCCUUGGAGGACGAACCUUGGUCGACGUCGUGACGAGGACGUCAGGACCGUUCUCACCGUUUCCCAUUAUUUUCCGAUACGCGAUCUAGCGCUCCGCGAAAAAUCCGCGAGAAGUUGACAACGAUCGCGGCAGCUCGAUCCUCUAAAUCGCCGAUUCUUCCGUUCAACAUUCUCGUCUCGGUCGAUCUGACAAAAAGUAACGAAUCGAACAACUCGGGGAAGAGAUCGGAAAUGAAACGUUCGCAGCGUCGAACCCGAAAGAAACCGAGGCACAAGUGUCGGCGACCGUGCGAAUCAAGUGCCAGUUAGAUCGGCGGCGGCCGCAUGUGCCGCGAAUUCAGAGCGAUUACGCGACGACGACGACGGGUGGUUAAUUCCUUGAUUAUGCAUUAAUGGUUUCCCGCGAUCCUUCCAGCGUAACUGCCGGUCAAAUCACGGCCACGCGCACGCACUUUGCUCCGAACGGAUCCUUGAAGUACAGCGCUAGCUAGCUGGCCGGACGUCGUUAAAAGUCAAGUUCAUUUUACAAGCGGCGACGAGACACGGACUUACGCGGGAAGGUUUCCUCGGUCCUCUCGUCGGGCCUGCGACCCGCCGCGUGGAUCAGGUAGGUCCGGUAAUAGGGCGCCUUCCCGAUCACCUGGGACCGGGACAGGGCGAUGAAGAUGAUGGUGAUCGGCAGCAGGACCGCCGGUAUCAGCAGCAUCAGCUUCACGCGGAACCGCCAAGUGUCGUUCCCUCCCAUGCACCACCUGCGCAAGCCGACGAGUACCUUCGUGAUUACACAGCGACCGAACGAUUCGGCUUGUCCCAAGCCUUAAGAAAGUGAUCCCAUUUUGGUACUUCAAGCGUCCGGUCUCCUUGUUGAUCGCCAGACGACAGGACGGACAGGGUCCUCCGCUGAAGAACUCGUCGUCGUUGUAGUGGCUCAGGCUGCUUCCGCCCCUCAUCUUUUCUGAAAGCAAGUCCGGUUGGUUCUGUCUGAGUCGGCCCUCCUCUUACUUCAUGUUCACGAGGUUCUAUGCGGUAAUAUCACGUUCGUAACCCGCGGACCACCGGGUGGACUUUUUACAUCGCCGAACCGCGGAGCGACCGUGGUUCCUUCGCCGGGACCAAAGAUCGUACUGACGGCGAGCAGCCGCGCGGAUUGCCAGCCAAGCCAAGCCACACACCGAUCGCCACCGAUUCCUGAAUGGUGUGACACUGCGCCCGCGAAUGAAGAUCACACAGGCAGCCCCGGGAGCUAUUGGUACGGGCGGCGAUCACGACACGAAUGUUAAUGUAACGUUGCGCGUACGGGGCAAAUUAGUCCCAGCGACAUUUGUACGGCCAGUAAUUUCCAUAUGUAACGUAUGUCGGCGGUCAACGCCAGUGGCGAUGGUAACAACAAUCGAGGCGGAGGCACUCUGUACGUGCACGCACACCGCGAGGGCCAUUUUACGCGCUCCUUACGUCCAGUUACUCGUCAAUCGACCCUAAUAACUUGCAGUUAUCGUUCAAUAACGCGACGCGCUGUUUUACAUUCUACACGUGACCCCCCGACGUUAUUAACGUCUUUUCUCAUCGCCAGCACCGGAUUGCCGUUACAAAACGUAAGAACCUCGAACGGCGAGCCGCCGCCGAGAUCCUGCCGGCGCACACGGCGCAACCCUUUCUCGCGACCGGGAUCCGAUGAUCGUCGGGGAGCACGGGGGUUGCAACCGUCCGCGAUCGGGACUCGACUGUCUUUGUAGGCGGAUCGUAAGAAUGCGGAACACGCGAAGGUUUUUAUUUUAUGGUGGUUGCCGAAGGUGCUGCAUGCGAUCAGCGAUCAUGGCUGGAGCCGUUCGAGUCCAUAGGCGUUCGUUUCUUCGUGUGUUUUCAGCCUAAGUCUUUGAUCUUUUUAGUAGACCUCGUAUAAACGACUCGAACAGCCUGCUAAUUUGCAACUCCGGGUCGAAAUGGUAUCAAGGUCCGCUAUUCAAGGGUUAAAAGGUCGUGUUGCCCUUGGAACGUCGGAUGGCCCGAUUUGAAACCUUUCGUUCUAAGCGACGACGAGGUUUACGAUUGGCCUAAGGACAACGAUAUACAUAUAGUGGACACUUUUUAAUUUCACCUCCAAUCUUCUCUCAUCCCUGAGAAAUGAGAGGAUACUAUGGAUUCUUCGAAAUAUUGUUUGGUUCACGGAUUUCUCAAUAUCCUUUGACGAGCACAAUUUCGGAAACUUUGUUUUUAUUACUUUAGAAUGUUAACUUACUGUUAUUAUGUAAUUUUCUUCGACUAAUACAUUCUUCAUGAUUUGAUAGGAAAUUCCAGUACAUUAUGUUGCAGCCGUAAAGAUCAUCCUCGGGAGUCAUCAUGAUGAACGAAAUUUGGCGUUUCUAGUACACCCGAAAACCAAUUUCUCGAAACGGCUUUAUUUUCUUCUAUGAUGACGUCUCGUUCCGUCUACAUGUUUUACAGCAAGAAAUAAUGUUCGUAUAGUUCUAAUUUCAAGUUAUUGAUAAUCAACUGUUUUUUUUUUUUUUUUAGAAGAUGAUUUAGAGGAUUACAUAAGGUAAAACAUUAAUUUAGGCUGCGCUUUUAUCGGUACUUUAUUUUUAUGUUACAAACAAAGAUGGAAGCAAAUCGUAUUUUACAAUGCAACACUUUACAAUACUAUACAACAA